rnacentral:rRNA from 1 species
UACGAAGGGGGCUAGCGUUGCUCGGAAUCACUGGGCGUAAAGGGUGCGUAGGCGGGUCUUAAGUCAGGGGUGAAAUCCCGGAGCUCAACUCCGGAACUGCCUUUCAUACUGGCAAUCUAGAGUCCGGAAGAGGUGAGUGGAACUCCUAGUGUAGAGGUGGAAUUCGUAGAUAUUAGGAAGAACACCAGUGGCGAAGGCGGCUCACUGGUCCGGUACUGACGCUGAGGUGCGAAAGCGUGGGGAGCAAACAGG